CAAUAUUCUCGGACGCGACGCUGUGGGUGCGUAGAGAGGCUGUAGCGUCGGUGGGUCCGCCAGGCGAACCAUGCCAUUUCUGGGUCAGGACUGGAGAUCUCCUGGGUGGAGUUGGAUUAAAACUGAAGAUGGCUGGAAAAGAUGCGAGUCCUGCAGUCCAGAGCUGGGAAGAGACAGCAGCCAGUGCACCCUCAGCCAUGACGUUAUCUUAAAUAGUGAAGAUGAAGAAAUAUUCAAUAAUGAAGAGUGUGAAUAUGCAUCCAAAAAAAGGAAAAAGGAACAUUUCAGAAAUGACACAAAUACCCAAAGUUUUUAUCGUGAAAAAUGGAUCUAUGUCCAUAAAGAAAGCACAAAAGAAAGGCAUGGCUACUGCACCCUGGGGGAGGCGUUCAACCGCCUGGACUUCUCCAGCGCCAUCCAGGAUAUCCGGAGGUUCACAUAUGUGGUCAAACUGUUGCAGCUGAUUGCAAAAUCCCAGUUAACUUCAUUAAGUGGUGUCGCACAGAAGAAUUACUUCAACAUUCUGGAUAAAAUUGUUCAAAAGGUGCUGUGUGACCACCAGAACCCUCGCCUAAUCAAGAACCUCCUGCAGGAUCUGAGCUCUACCCUCUGCACCCUUAUUAGAGGGGUAGGGAAGUCAGUGUUGGUGGGCAACAUCAACAUUUGGAUUUGCCGCUUAGAAACUGUCCUUAACUGGCAACAACAACUACAGAAUCUUCAGAUGACUAAGCAGGUGAACGACGGCCUCACCCUCAGCGACCUGCCGUUGCACACACUGAGCAACAUCCUCCAUCGCUUCUCAGAUGGGUGGGACGUUGUCACCCUGGGCCAGGUGACACCCACCCUGUACGUGCUUAGCGAAGACAGGCAGCUAUGGAAGAAGCUGUGUCAGUACCAUUUUGCUGAAAAGCAGUUUUGUAGACAUUUGAUCCUUUCAGAAAAAGGACACGUGGAAUGGAAGUUGAUGUAUUUCACGCUUCAGAAGCAUUACCCGACCAAGGAGCAGUAUGGAGACACACUGCAGUUUUGCCGGCACUGCAGCAUCCUCUUCUGGAAGCUUGUCAGAACAUAACAGGAAGGUCGUUACUUAUCAGCAAGGCUUUGGUGAAAGACUCAGCAGCAUCAUCUACUCAUCUACAGCAUCUUCUGCGUCCAGAGAGCAAAGCUGGACCCCGUGGCCUGUUGCCUCCUGUUGUUUUAGACACAGUUCCCACUUUCCAGUGACACGCUUUCUGUACGCAGGGACCAGCCCUGGGGGCCCCUGCUUUGGCAUGAUUUGUUUUCUUAAUGCGUUAAUGUUUCACCCUGGGAUGCAUUUCUGUGGUGUACCUGGCUUUUGAUGGUGUUUGAUCUUGAGGCCUCAGUGGGGAAAAGGCGUUCACACUGUGGAAGCUGAUGGCUGAGGUGCAGCCAGCCCCGACCCACUGCCCACCCACUGCCCAGGGGCCCCUCCCAGCUGCUCCCCGGACUGGAUGAGAAUUGGCCUCUCCCCGGAACAGGGGUCUGGCUUCUGACCUCUCUGAGUUGAGGGCAGCUGCAGAUCCUGCUCUGACUGGCCUUUUGUUUUACAUUUAUCUAAACAUUAUCAUAUGGGUCACAGGCAAGCUCUAGAUUGUUGGGAAAGAGACAGCUGCUUUCAUUUCAAAGUCUACGGAUGACACUCUGUCCUGUUAGGAUGAUCCACAGCUGAGUGGAGAAUGUAAGUGGGCUUUUCUCUCAUGUUGUUUAACAGGGCUUUACUUACUUCGUCAGAGAUAAGCCGGCCAUCUGCAGUUGCCGAGGCUCAGCAAGGACAGUGUAGGAGGUUCUGUUAGUUCAGGUUUACUGUCUGGUGUUGGAGUGUGCCUUCCCUUGUCCUCAAAAUCGAAAGCAGUACAAUUUUACUCCAGAAUGCUCUCGAGAGCAGGGAACAUAUUGUGUCCAGAUUCAUCCUCCGUCUUGGGUGGUCUCAGGGACCAGGAGAGAGUGUUUCUCUGUUCCCGCUCCCUGUUCGUGGGCAUGAAGGAACAUGCCAGUGUCUUGGGCUGAAAGGAGAGGACACGCGGAGCAGCUCUCAUCCCGCUGUGAGCCGGGCAGUGCUCGGGGGCUUCUGUAAAUCGCUCACACCCUUGAGAACAUGAGGACACAGCCUGAGCCUAUUACUUGAUUUCAUAGAAAUGCUGGAAGUAAUGGUACUUUUAUGGGGAAUACUAUUUAUGGGCUAGAAGGCUUUCAGCUCAGUAUAAAACAGUCAACACUCUUAUGAGAAUCUGUGAGAAUAUUGGAGCUCUCCCUGUCUGCUAAGUAAUUAACGAAGAAACACACACUUUCUCCUUAGCUCUGUGGUUAGGCAGUGAGAGAGGUGCUGCUUAAGUUUCCUGAGACAGGACACUAGGCAAGAUGCCUGUGGGCUCCAGGAGCAGAGCUGUGGUCAAAGCCUAAGGCAAGACAGGCCCAACUGUCUAGCACCCAGAGUCUGGGGAACAUCUCCUGAGCAGACUGACCAGCCACCCCUACUCAUGGACAGGGAGAAUGUGGGAACUCUCCAGCUGGGCCAGGAGCACAGUGCUCGCAGCCUGUGGGCAGCAGCAGGCUUGCCGAUCCUCCCUGCAGAGGCUGAAUGCACAGCUGCAGGACACAUUAUUUAGCAUGGAGUAGACCCUCAGGGAAACAGAGGGAUAAAGGACUUUCUCCCAAAGACCCUUGCAUAUUGAAAUACUAGCCUUGCUUUAUGCUUCUUUGUGAACAGUUUUGAAGAUCAUCACAGAGGCCUCAUGAGUUUUCAAUUUGAGAGACUGAAAGGAAAUGGAAGUGUCUCUCUUUGUCCCAAGACUGUCUUCACUUGUAUGGGAUUUGGGGUGUCUGGUGGUGCCAGUCUUCCUAUACUUCAUGUUGACCUGAUGUUUUCAUUUUCAUGAAUAAGCUGCACAGACCUGAACGGCCACACAACUCUAUCUAACCAGUCUUUCCUUCUCCCCUCCACUGCCUCCCGCGGUCCUUUCUGCGUGCUAAGGACUACCAUCUCGCUUGGCUCCUGAAGGACUCGGGUCACCCCUGCACGGCAGCUGACCCGGACAGCUGCUUCACGCCCGUGUCCCCACAGCACUUCAUCGAUCUCUUCAAAUUCUAAAGGCAGCCCCACCCUGCUGUCCCCGUCAGAUGUGCACACGAUGCGUUCUGUGCUCAGCUGGUGGUAAGUGUUCUCCGUGACCAAAAGCCGUACCAGGUCUACGACUGGCAGGCCUGUGAGGCCUAUGCUUCAGAAAGAACUGGAAAGAAUGUGAAAAACUGCCGCUCUGGGGCUGUGCAGCAGGAACACAUCAUCGUUCCUUUCUGUCUCUGAAGGAGUCAGGGACCCAAGAAAAUCAUUUCUGUCCUUCCUUUUAAACUUCUUCUAAGCCUCUUAAAAUUUGCAAUUUUGUAUAUUUAUAAAUUGAAUCAAAAAUGA